rnacentral:lncRNA from 1 species
AGAAAGUGUUUAAAUCGAAGAAAGAAAUCCUGCCGAUUGGAUUUACAAGGCUGCUGCAACCAGAAAGGCUAUUCUUCUUUAAUGUGUUUCAUCCCCUUCCAGAGAGUUUUCUUUAUUGAUCUCCUGGUGGGAGGUUCCACACACCUGAAAAUGUGGCACAACACAUCUUUCAUCAACAAUAGCACCCUAUCAUGCUCAUGAUGCAUAGAUUUGCC